GAUGAACGCUGGCGGCGUGCCUAAUACAUGCAAGUCGAGCGAACAGACGAGGAGCUUGCUCCUCUGACGUUAGCGGCGGACGGGUGAGUAACACGUGGAUAACCUACCUAUAAGACUGGGAUAACUUCGGGAAACCGGAGCUAAUACCGGAUAAUAUAUUGAACCGCAUGGUUCAAUAGUGAAAGACGGUUUUGCUGUCACUUAUAGAUGGAUCCGCGCCGCAUUAGCUAGUUGGUAAGGUAACGGCUUACCAAGGCAACGAUGCGUAGCCGACCUGAGAGGGUGAUCGGCCACACUGGAACUGAGACACGGUCCAGACUCCGACGGGAGGCAGCAGUAGGGAAUCUGCCGCAAUGGGCGAAAGCCUGACGGAGCAACGCCGCGUGAGUGAUGAAGGUCUUCGGAUCGUAAAACUCUGUUAUUAGGGAAGAACAAAUGUGUAAGUAACUAUGCACGUCUUGACGGUACCUAAUCAGAAAGCCACGGCUAACUACGU
rnacentral:rRNA from 1 species